rnacentral:lncRNA from 1 species
CUCAAUCCUCUCAUUCAGUCCAUGGAUUGUCAGUGUCGCAUCCUCCACAACCGACCGAAAGUACAGCAAUUCCCUCUUCCUAGGAAACGGACAACACCUGCCAGGCACCGGACUUGCACGUAAAUAAAACAAUAUCAAAAUUAAUUCGAGCAACUACAUAAAAAAAAUAAAAAAAAAAUUCAUAAUAAUGAAAAUGAGUUGAUAAUAUAUUGUGUGUGCAGCGCCGACGGUUGGAGGAGUGUACUUUCCGGUUGCAGCGGCGGCAGAUGUUAGUGAAAGGAAUGUUACGGUGGGCGUUAUUGAAAGCUGUCAGAAUGCAGAUCCGUUCGUACGUGAAUUGGCUCGAGGGAAGAUAAUUAUAUGCACGUACACGUUCGACUUCGAUUCUGAGGCGGCUUCGAUUUCUGCGGUUGUGGACACUAUACAUAAAAUUGGUGCUGCCGGUUUUAUACUAACGAUGGAUCCUGACUUGGGGUCUCACCAGAUUAAAGGCUCCACUAUUACUCUACCUGUGCCCGGAAUCAUUCUAAACAACAUGGAAUCCUCUUCGGUGCGUAUACACACUCCUCGUUUUUCAAAGCUUCCUAAUUCAAUAGACGCACAUAUAUAAUGUCGUUAACUUUCGUCUACUUAACGAAACAACAGGCUCUUUGGGAAUACUACAACUCGAACACGAUAAGGGGCAGGAGCGGUGCCGCCAUAGUAUUCCGAGCAAGGGCGAGGAUUCUAGACGGAAGGCAGGCUAGCUACAACGUGCAGGCGCCAGCUGUCGCCUCGUACUCCUCACGAGGCCCCGACCUGAACAACGCCCUUCUAGAAACCGCGGACGUGCUCAAGCCCACCAUCAUGGCGCCAGGCUCGUCAAUAUGGGCGGCAUGGACAAAGCCCAACAGCCGAGGAGACGACUACACCAAAUCCCAAACGUUCGCACUCCUCUCCGGGACAAGCAUGGCCACACCGCACAUAGCCGGCAUCGCCGCCCUGAUAAAGCAGAAGCACCGCCACUGGAGCCCGGCGGCAGUCGCCUCGGCGAUGAUGACAACGGCCGACCAAACCGACCACUCCGGCUCUCCGAUCCUCGCACAGGGGAAAAACGGGCUGUUAUCGCCCGCGACGCCGUUCGACUUCGGAGCGGGUUCGAUCAAUCCGUCUAAAGCCAUCGAUCCAGGCCUAGUGUUCGAAGCUUAUUUCAAGAACUACGUAGAGUUCUUGUGUGCCGUUCCAGGGUUGGACGAUAAGUCUGUCAGACGGGCGGUGGGAGUCGGGUGCCCCGACAAGAGGAAGGAGUGGUGCUCGGAUUUGAACACUGCGAGUGUGACGGUUUCGAAUUUGGUGGGGUCGAGGAAGGUUGUGAGGAGAGUGACUAAUGUCGGUGGUUUUGAUGAGAAGUAUAGGGUGGUUGUUAGAGAGCCGGUCGGGGUUCGAGUUAGUGUUGAGCCUCAGGUUUUUACGAUCAGUGUGAACGAGUCGACGCAUAUUACGGUUAUGUUGCAGGCAACUCAGAGGACGAACCGAUACACGUUUGGGGAGAUGGUUUUAGAGGGGAGUAAUAAUCAUGUCGUUCGAGUUCCUAUUACUGUCUUUGUUAGCAGCUACCUAGGUUCUUGAAAAUUUUCGAUAUAAACGGACAGUGGUUCCGAAAUAGUUUUUAAGUUCCGGACUUUCGUUGCCUGUUGACUCUGUUCGGCGUACUUUCUUACCACGCAGCAUCGAAUAACUAGGAAUGAAUGUUGCUACAUUAUAUGAAUAGAUUUGAGAUUCACUACAUAAUAUAAAUAUAAACUCUAAGCUGGUAAUCUUAAUUAGGCACUUAUAACUAUCAUUAAUUGUAAUUAGGGAGAACAACAGAGCAAAAUGACAGUGAAAUUAAUUUAACUUCAGCCUGCGGGAAGAAGGGGAUUUGCUUCUUAUACUUAGCUACAGCAAUUGCACAUAAUUUCAAGAAAUAAAGAAUAUAUAUGGGGACAACUAUUUUGAAUACUAGUUUUUUCUUAGUUGAAUACCAAAAAAAUAAAAAAUAAAUAAUUAAUUGUAAAUUACUUUAAUACCCUUAAUGAAAAUUAAAACCAAAAAAUAUUACAAAUACUAUUUUUCUUUCUUAAAAACCAAAUAAUCAAAAACCUAAAAAAAACAUUUCCCUCCUCACUCACAAACCCCUCACCUCCUCCACCUCCUUCUUCUCCCUCCCCAAAAACCCUCCUAAAAAACCCCAAAACAAAAGAAAUCAAAACCUUACACAACUUGCAAAAUGGCCUCAAAUGACAAUAGAAUGGUAGUUUACGAGCAAGGAGAACCCAUUCAGGUAUGUAUUCAUGUAUUUUUUGAGCUAAAACAUCGAUUUUGAAUUUUUUUUUUUUUAAAACUCGCCAUGUAUUUUCGACACAUACAGGUCGAAAAUACCCUUAUUUUUCGACACUUAAGUGUCGAAAAUAUGGGUAAUUUUCGACACUUUAGUGUCGAUUUUGUUCCUGUUGCAAAUUUACUUGUCUUAUAUUUUCGACACUUUUGUGUAGAUCGAUUGCACCCAUUCAUUUACCACGUCAGAAAAAUUCCCAACAAAAGAAGCUUUAAUGGCAUGGGUUCGUGAAGUAUGUAAAAGAAUUGGAAUGGUGUUAAUGAUUGGGGGUUCGAGUGACGGGGAUAGAGGACGUAGGACACCGUAUGUGAUUGUUCGUUGUGAGCGUGGGGGCCAUUAUGUUGGCAAGAAGGUACCAGGUGAAGAUGAUCAAAGACCGGGAAAAAGGAGCACCGGUUCAAAGAAAUGCAAUUGUCCGUUUAAAUUGAAGGGGACAAGAGAACACAAGGAUGAUGAAAAGGCUGAGUGGAAAUUGGAUGUUAGUUGUGGUAUUCACAACCACAACUUAUUCGAAAACUUGCACGGACACUCUUAUGCCGGAAGAUUAUCAAAGGAGGAUGUUUCCUUUGUUCACACUAUGAAGAAAGCAAUGGUGAAACCAAGGGCAAUUCUAAGAGCAUUGAAGCAAAAGGACCCGUCUAAUGUAACUGGUAUGAAGACAGUUUACAAUACUAUCUCUAAGUUAAAUUUCAGUGAAUUGGAUGGGAGAUCUCAAUUGCAAUCAUUGUUUGUCAAGUUGAAAGAAGAUGAAUACCUCUCGUACCAUAGAUCGAACGAGUUGAAUGCGAUUACCGACUUGUUUUGGAUCCACCCGAAAUGCAUUAAGUUGGCACAGUCGUAUCCGUACGUAUUCGUCAUCGAUUGCACGUACAAGACCAAUCGUUACGGACUCCCAUUUCUUGAGAUUGUGGGUUUUACUUGUACCAACAAGACGUUCUCAAUUGCCUUUGCUUACUUGGACCACGAAAAGACGGAAAAUUUUGAAUGGGCGUUGCGUUGUUUGAAGGAGGCCAUGACCAGUUGUCAUCGGCCUAAUUGCAUUGUAACAGAUCGAGAUUUGGGUUUAAUGAAAGCAGUGGCCAAUGUGUAUCCAUCGAGUCAUCACUUGCUGUGUCGGUGGCAUGUGAACAAGAAUAUAGUGGCCAAUUGUAAGAAAUUGUUCCCAAAGGACAUCACCAAAUGGAAGCAAUUUCAGUCGAGUUUUUCGGCUCUUAUUGAAAGAAAUACCAUAGAGGAGUUCAAUGAGGAUUGGGAGGAUUUGAAAAGAACAUUUAUGGGUUAUCUCCCGGCUAUAGAGUAUGUAGCCAAUUCAUGGUUGGAUCCGUACAAGGAGAGACUUGUAUCGGUGUGGACAAAUAAGUAUACUCAUUUUGGAACGUACACUUCUAAUAGGGUGGAGGGGGCACACGGACGAAUGAAAAGGGAUGUGCGUAAUUCAACUGGCACAUUUGUGGAUUUGUAUACGAAAGUCCACAAUCAAAUUGUCGAACAACACAAUGACAUCAAGGCUUCCUUUGAAGUAAGUAAAAAUACUUACGAGCACACUUUCAAAACGUUGAUAUACAAUGAGCUUCGUGGAAGUAUCUCAAAAUACGCUCUGCAACUACUCAAAGUUGAGGUGGACAAUGCGAAACUAUUGCAACCGAGCGAUAUGGGUUGUAGUUGCGCCAUCCGAACAACCCACAGUCUACCAUGUCGCCAUGAACUUCAUGAGUAUGUUGUUGUGAACAAAUGUCCUAUCCCACUUGAGUUAAUAGGCUCGUAUUGGAAACACAUGAGUAUGGAGCCCGUCGCGACCACAGGCCAAGUCAUCCUACCAACCAUCGACGAAGAAUUAUCGGAAUACCAGAAGCUCUUUGAAUGUGCCGAUCUCGAUGCAAAAACUCGAUUGCGCAACCAUUUGAGACAUUUUACCCACCCAGAGAAUACUAACCUUACGGAGCCAAGUGAAAAAGUUGUUAGCAAAGGUCGACCGGCAAAAAGUAGGAAAGACAAAUCAAGCACUCGGGACAAAUCACAUUUUGAGUAUGUGGAGCCAAAGAAAAAAAAAUCGAAGCAAGCUAGUUGUUCUCCAAAGGUAAAUGUCGCUACUAUCGUCUCAUUUCAUUGAAGUUGCAUUUUAUAAUUGUGCUGAGUAAUGAAGUGUAAUAUACUGCAGCUUAUACCUGUACCGAUGAGAUUCAACGGGAAGCAGGUAUAUAUGGUCUAGAGUUAGCUGUGUGACUGGCCGUCUGGGAACCACUUUAAAUCCUUCCCCCCNNNNNNNNNNNNNNNNNNNNNNNNNNNNNNNNNNNNNNNNNNNNNNNNNNNNNNNNNNNNNNNNNNNNNNNNNNNNNNNNNNNNNNNNNNNNNNNNNNNNGUUAUUAGGCGGUACACCAGUAAUGUCGUGGCCGCAAUACAAAACUAAAUUAAAAAACAAAUAAAACAAAUAAAAUCCAUCAAACAACAUCCAUCUAAAAAAAUACAAGACUAAUCCUGUGUUUUUUUCUUCCUACUAAACACGCGUUUCACAACCGCCUGUGGGGCAUCGGACGAGCUCGAUGGCGGUGGAAUUGGCCCUAUCGAGCUACCUGGAGGUGGUGGUGGGGCAUCCGAUGACCUCGAAGGAGGUGGAAAUGGGGCAUCCGGCUCGAUCAAUCUGACAAUAUCAUUUAGGGUCCCCCACAUGACCGUAUGAGCGUCAGAUGGCGCAAGUCCCCGCACCUCGCUAAGUGUACCAUUCACCAACUCCAAAAUUUGUGAAAGUUGGACCUCCUUAUCGGUACCACCCUCUGGACGAGCUUCAUGGGGUCGAGGUCGAUCCGCCUGGGGUCGAGGUGGAUGGGCUCCAUGCCUACUCAGUUGUAACAUGCAUCUGGGUCGGAACCAAUUCAUGUAGUCCGGCGAAGUGUCCGCCUCCCCGAGUUCAAUUUCAACGGACCUCGACUCCUCGUCCAGACAAUACUCCUCCCACCGAUCAGAGAAUCGUUCGCCGUACGCAACGAAAAUUGAGUUCUGGACCGGUCGACCUUUGCUAGCUAGAGCUUUGUACAUAUCUUUUGACAUGUAUGCACGACCUGGAAUGAUUUGCACCCGGUUGAACUGCCUCAACACUCUGUCCGGAUGAUAUGCCUCGAAGUGGUCCAUGCAACAUAUCAUCCCACUAAACCAAGCAGAAUCUGGCAUCGGGAAACGAUCACGAAUAGCCGUAUACGGUGACCAUAAAACCUAGUAAAAUAAAUAAAAAAUUAGAUGUAAAAACCUACUUAAGUAGUAAUAACAAAUUAUUAAACUGGUAUGUUACCUGAUCGGGGAUCAAAUCAUCUAAUCGAGAUCGCAGGUACGACGCUCGUUCAGGCGUUGAAGUAGUCUUUGACUGAGGCUCCCAUCGGCUCGCUAAUGGCCCCUCGAAUUCCGUCUUCAAUGUGCCACCCCCCAAAUAAGGAAAGUGCUCGUAAAUCCAUGACUGAAAGAGCGUCAGCCAGCCAGCCAUCGAGUUCGUUGAUUUUUGUGAGGCUGAGGAAAGCUCAUCGUACAACCGGCAAAGACAUGCAGUGCCCCAAGCAUACUCGCCGAUCCGAUCCAAAUCAGAUACAAGAUUUAGGUACUCAAAGCUUACCAUGUUGCCUGUCUUGUCGCACAGUAUAGUACACCCGAGCAAAAAUAACAAAUACGCCCGAAUGGCGUAUGUCCUCUUCUCCGCACUAUCUCUCAUGGUCACUUUGCUAAAUUUAGCCUUCAACCAUUCCAACUUGACCGCUUUCUUCUUGUUUACAUCGUCCGGGUACUCACCUAGCAACUCGAACAUCAAAGAACUGGGAAUGGUUUUGGAAUCACGGACCAAACGCUCGCAAGAUACGGUACGCCCAACAACUGGCAAACCGACCAACGUACUCACAUCGUCAAGUGUGAUGGUCAUCUCUCCAACAGGUAAGUGAAAUGUGUUGGUAGCUGGCUGCCAUCUCUCUACGAAGGCUCUAAGUAGAUGGUCGUCCACAGUGUUGUACGAUGCCUGUACAACUGACAUUAAACCACAUCUUUGUACUACCUCUGUAAUAAACGGCGCCGGCUCCCAACCUUUCAAGGUUCCUGUGUGAUUUCAUAUUCGAAAUUCUGAGCCGCGCUCCGAACGAUCUGGCCCUCCGUUCACAAUAUGAUAAGCAAUGUGCUUAUCAAAUUUUGUGUACAAUUCCGGUAUCUCGGGACCUAGGACCGGUUCGUUGCUCGAAUCACCAACUUGUACAGUCGAAUGUAGAGCCGGCACCGGAUUCGUUGACGAAGAACCCUCUCCAGACUUCUUCUUGGUCGUGGUCUUUUUCUUGGUCGUGACUGCUAUGCCCUUGCCUUUAUCGGAUAAUUCCUUCCUCUUCUUACGGUUCGAGACAGUCGGAGGUAUACGAGGUUCACGUGGUUCUUCCACUGCAAAAUAACACACAAAUAAAAAUUAAUAUACAUAAUAUAAACACAAGCAAAUAAAAAUAGGGAAAAAAAAAAAAAAAAAAAAAAAUUUCCCAGUUCAAAUUCGACAGAAACCUGUCGAAAAUGGGUUGCAUUUUCGAUAGAAACCUGUCGCAAAUUGGUCGACUAUUCGACAUGUCGGUGUGAGAAAUGCACCCCAUUUUCGACAGGUUUCUGUCGAAAAUUACCAAAAUCCAAACUCAACAAUUUCACCAUUUUCGACAUCUACAUGUCGAAUUUGGAUGAAUUAGCCUUCUACAUCAACCUGUCGAAAAUUCAUCCAAACUCGACAUAUACAGGUCGAAAAUGGUGAACGAAGAACCGACCCACGAAUCUCAAAUCAAUGCUCAAAUCGACUGAAAUCAGAUGCACCCAUUACUAAUUAACGAUCAUUCUAACCUAAAACAACCAAAUCCUAAUUACCCAUAUCAAACAAUCAAAUCUUAAAUAAAUAUUAAAGAAAAAAAAAUCGAAACAACUAUAACUUACUAUUCGAAGACGACGACGGCGGCGGCUUUGGGCGACGUUGGGCGGCGUUCGGCGGUGUUUGGCGUCGGCGUCCGACGGCGGCGAUGGUUGGAGCGGCGGCGGCGGCGUCGGGCGGCGUGGACGGAGGGAGGUGGACGGAGGGAGGUUUUUUGUGUUUGAAUUUUUUUUUUCUUUUUUUUUUUAUUUGGUUUUCAAAUAGGUAAUUUCAAAGAAAAAUUGAUGUAAUUAGUAUUUUGUAUGAAAGGGUAUUUUUGUACUUUUAUUUUUAUUUUGGUAUUAAAGUAAGAAAAAACUUAAAAAUAUGUACUCAAUUGUGGUUUUCAACUAGGUAGUAUUCAACUAAGCAAAAAUUAGUAUUCAAAAUAGUUGCCCCCAAUAUAUAUAUAUACAGAAAUGAUAAAACCAUGAACAGAGAGAAAGAAACGUAAGAAAUUCGACCAAGUACCUCAACGAAGAUAUCCAUCCGAAGGAGUGAAACGACACCGUAUUCGAAUACCAAUUUCAUUGAAUUGGUGACGGUCACGAAUUAGGGCUGGAUAUUUGGCAGCUUGGCGUUUGAAUUCAGCGUCUUGUAGACGAAUUGGGUUUUUCACUUCGAGGCGUGCUAUAUUUCUUGGACUGGAGAAUUCAGCCGCCGACCGGCGUCGAAAGUCUCGCCGGAGAUGAUGACGGUUAAUUUUGAAGAACUCAUCGAGAAAUGGAACAAAUUUGCAAGAUCGUAU